rnacentral:misc_RNA from 1 species
GGAUGAAGAACGUAGCGAAAUGCGAUAAGUAAUGUGAAUUGCAGAAUUCCGUGAAUCAUCGAAUCUUUGAACGCACAUUGCGCCCCCUGGUAUUCCGGGGGGCAUGCCUGUCCGAGCGUCAUUGCAACCUUCAAGCGCGGCUUGUGUGUUGGGUCUCGUCCCCCGUGGACGGGCCCGAAAGGCAGUGGCGGCGUCCCGACAUGGUGCCCGAGCGUAUGGGAAUCCUCUUCCGCUCGAAUCGGCCCAUGCGGCGCUGGUCGUAACCAAAUUUUUUACCGGUUGACCUCGGAUCAGGUAGGGAUACCCGCUGAACUUAAGCAUAUCAAUAAGCGGAGGA